rnacentral:rRNA from 1 species
UGCGCAGGCGGUUCGGAAAGAAAGAUGUGAAAUCCCCGGGCUCAACCUGGGAACUGCAUUUGAAACUGGCAAGCUAGAGUCUCGUAGAGGGGGUAGAAUUCCAGGUGUAGCGGUGAAAUGCGUAGAGAUCUGGAGGAAUACCGAUGGCGAAGGCGGCCCCCUGGACGAAGACUGACGCUCAGGUGCGAAAGCGUGGGGAGCAAACA